rnacentral:rRNA from 1 species
UUAAGCGACUAAGCGUACACGGUGGAUGCCCUGGCAGUCAGAGGCGAUGAAGGACGUGCUAAUCUGCGAUAAGCGUCGGUAAGGUGAUAUGAACCGUUAUAACCGGCGAUUUCCGAAUGGGGAAACCCAGUGUGAUUCGUCACACUAUCAUUAACUGAAUCCAUAGGUUAAUGAGGCGAACCGGGGGAACUGAAACAUCUAAGUACCCCGAGGAAAAGAAAUCAACCGAGAUUCCCCCAGUAGCGGCGAGCGAACGGGGAGGAGCCCAGAGCCUGAAUCAGUGUGUGUGUUAGUGGAAGCGUCUGGAAAGGCGCGCGAUACAGGGUGACAGCCCCGUACACAAAAAUGCACAUGCUGUGAGCUCGAUGAGUAGGGCGGGACACGUGGUAUCCUGUCUGAAUAUGGGGGGACCAUCCUCCAAGGCUAAAUACUCCUGACUGACCGAUAGUGAACCAGUACCGUGAGGGAAAGGCGAAAAAGAACCCCGGCGAGGGGAGUGAAAAAGAACCUGAAACCGUGUACGUACAAGCAGUGGGAGCACAGAGCAAUCUGUGUGACUGCGUACCUUUUGUAUAAUGGGUCAGCGACUUAUAUUCUGUAGCAAGGUUAACCGAAUAGGGGAGCCGAAGGGAAACCGAGUCUUAACCGGGCGUUAAGUUGCAGGGUAUAGACCCGAAACCCGGUGAUCUAGCCAUGGGCAGGUUGAAGGUUGGGUAACACUAACUGGAGGACCGAACCGACUAAUGUUGAAAAAUUAGCGGAUGACUUGUGGCUGGGGGUGAAAGGCCAAUCAAACCGGGAGAUAGCUGGUUCUCCCCGAAAGCUAUUUAGGCAGCGCCUCGUGAAUUCAUCUCCGGGGGUAGAGCACUGUUUCGGCAAGGGGGUCAUCCCGACUUACCAACCCGAUGCAAACUGCGAAUACCGGAGAAUGUUAUCACGGGAGACACACGGCGGGUGCUAACGUCCGUCGUGAAGAGGGAAACAACCCAGACCGCCAGCUAAGGUCCCAAAGUCAUGGUUAAGUGGGAAACGAUGUGGGAAGGCCCAGACAGCCAGGAUGUUGGCUUAGAAGCAGCCAUCAUUUAAAGAAAGCGUAAUAGCUCACUGGUCGAGUCGGCCUGCGCGGAAGAUGUAACGGGGCUAAACCAUGCACCGAAGCUGCGGCAGCGACACUGUGUGUUGUUGGGUAGGGGAGCGUUCUGUAAGCCUGUGAAGGUGUACUGUGAGGUAUGCUGGAGGUAUCAGAAGUGCGAAUGCUGACAUAAGUAACGAUAAAGCGGGUGAAAAGCCCGCUCGCCGGAAGACCAAGGGUUCCUGUCCAACGUUAAUCGGGGCAGGGUGAGUCGACCCCUAAGGCGAGGCCGAAAGGCGUAGUCGAUGGGAAACAGGUUAAUAUUCCUGUACUUGGUGUUACUGCGAAGGGGGACGGAGAAGGCUAUGUUGGCCGGGCGACGGUUGUCCCGGUUUAAGCGUGUAGGCUGGUUUUCCAGGCAAAUCCGGAAAAUCAAGGCUGAGGCGUGAUGACGAGGCGCUACGGUGCUGAAGCAACAAAUGCCCUGCUUCCAGGAAAAGCCUCUAAGCAUCAGGUAACAUCAAAUCGUACCCCAAACCGACACAGGUGGUCAGGUAGAGAAUACCAAGGCGCUUGAGAGAACUCGGGUGAAGGAACUAGGCAAAAUGGUGCCGUAACUUCGGGAGAAGGCACGCUGAUAUGUAGGUGAAGUCCCUCGCGGAUGGAGCUGAAAUCAGUCGAAGAUACCAGCUGGCUGCAACUGUUUAUUAAAAACACAGCACUGUGCAAACACGAAAGUGGACGUAUACGGUGUGACGCCUGCCCGGUGCCGGAAGGUUAAUUGAUGGGGUCAGCGCAAGCGAAGCUCUUGAUCGAAGCCCCGGUAAACGGCGGCCGUAACUAUAACGGUCCUAAGGUAGCGAAAUUCCUUGUCGGGUAAGUUCCGACCUGCACGAAUGGCGUAAUGAUGGCCAGGCUGUCUCCACCCGAGACUCAGUGAAAUUGAACUCGCUGUGAAGAUGCAGUGUACCCGCGGCAAGACGGAAAGACCCCGUGAACCUUUACUAUAGCUUGACACUGAACAUUGAGCCUUGAUGUGUAGGAUAGGUGGGAGGCUUUGAAGUGUGGACGCCAGUCUGCAUGGAGCCGACCUUGAAAUACCACCCUUUAAUGUUUGAUGUUCUAACGUGGACCCGUGAUCCGGGUUGCGGACAGUGUCUGGUGGGUAGUUUGACUGGGGCGGUCUCCUCCUAAAGAGUAACGGAGGAGCACGAAGGUUGGCUAAUCCUGGUCGGACAUCAGGAGGUUAGUGCAAUGGCAUAAGCCAGCUUGACUGCGAGCGUGACGGCGCGAGCAGGUGCGAAAGCAGGUCAUAGUGAUCCGGUGGUUCUGAAUGGAAGGGCCAUCGCUCAACGGAUAAAAGGUACUCCGGGGAUAACAGGCUGAUACCGCCCAAGAGUUCAUAUCGACGGCGGUGUUUGGCACCUCGAUGUCGGCUCAUCACAUCCUGGGGCUGAAGUAGGUCCCAAGGGUAUGGCUGUUCGCCAUUUAAAGUGGUACGCGAGCUGGGUUUAGAACGUCGUGAGACAGUUCGGUCCCUAUCUGCCGUGGGCGCUGGAGAACUGAGGGGGGCUGCUCCUAGUACGAGAGGACCGGAGUGGACGCAUCACUGGUGUUCGGGUUGUCAUGCCAAUGGCACUGCCCGGUAGCUAAAUGCGGAAGAGAUAAGUGCUGAAAGCAUCUAAGCACGAAACUUGCCCCGAGAUGAGUUCUCCCUGACCCUUUAAGGGUCCUGAAGGAACGUUGAAGACGACGACGUUGAUAGGCCGGGUGUGUAAGCGCAGCGAUGCGUUGAGCUAACCGGUACUAAUGAACCGUGAGGCUUAACCUU